CAAUAGCGUAUAUUAAAGUUGUUGCAGUUAAAAAGCUCGUAGUUGGAUUUCUGGUGGGAGCGAUCGGUCUGGCGCUUAGCGCGAGUACUUGCAUCGUCUCCGGCCAUCCUUGGGGAGAGUCUGUCUGGCAUUAAGUUGUCGGGCAGAGGAUCCUCAUCGUUUACUGUGAAAAAAUUAGAGUGUUUAAAGCAGGCUUAUGCCGUUGAAUAUAUUAGCAUGGAAUAAUAAGAUAGGACUUUGGUACUAUUUUGUUGGUUUGCGCACCAAAGUAAUGAUUAAUAGGGACAGUUGGGGGUAUUCGUAUUCCGUUGUCAGAGGUGAAAUUCUUGGAUUUACGGAAGACGAACUACUGCGAAAGCAUUUACCAAGGAUGUUUUCAUUAA
rnacentral:rRNA from 1 species